CGAGGGGAUGCAGCAGCAAUUCAUGUUUUGAAGUGCUUUCAAAGAUUCAAAACGUGAGGCGCUGCUAUACCCCUUUGGGGGGAAGUUAGAAGGUGGUG
rnacentral:pre_miRNA from 1 species